UNGGUGCGUUGGCCGCUCCUGGUGCCAGGA
rnacentral:piRNA from 1 species